CCUACGGGUGGCAGCAGUGAGGAAUAUUGGUCAAUGGACGAGAGUCUGAACCAGCAAAGUAGCGUGAAGGAUGACUGCCCUAUGGGUUGUAAACUUCUUUUAUAUGGGAAUAAAAUGUUCCACGUGUGGGAUUUUGUAUGUACCAUAUGAAUAAGGAUCGGCUAACUCCGUGCCAGCAGCCGCGGUAAUACGGAGGAUCCGAGCGUUAUCCGGAUUUAUUGGGUUUAAAGGGAGCGUAGGUGGAUUGUUAAGUCAGUUGUGAAAGUUUGCGGCUCAAACGUAAAAUUGCAGUUGAAACUGGCAGUCUUGAGUACAGUAGAGGUGAGCGGAAUGCGUGGUGUAGCGGUGAAAUGCUUAGAUAUCACGAAGAACACCGAUUGCGAAGGCAGUUCACUGGACUGCAACUGACACUGAGGCUCGAAAGUGUGGGUAUCAAACAGGAUUAGAUACCCGUGUAGUC
rnacentral:rRNA from 1 species